GUUUUUGGUCCCAAGGCUC
rnacentral:snRNA from 1 species